GCUGUCGUCAGCUCGUGUCGUGAGAUGUUGGGUUAAGUCCCGCAACGAGCGCAACCCUUGUCUUCUGUUGCCAUCAGGUCAAGCUGGGCACUCUGAAGAGACUGCCGGUGACAAACCGGAGGAAGGUGGGGAUGACGUCAAGUCAGCAUGGCCUUUAUGUCUGGGGCCACACACGUGCUACAAUGGCAGGUACAAACCGUCGCGAGACCGCAAGGUGGAGCUAAUCGGAGAAAGCCUGUCUCAGUUCGGAUUGUAGGCUGCAACUCGCCUGCAUGAAGUUGGAAUCGCUAGUAAUCGCGGAUCAGCACGCCGCGGUGAAUACGUUCCCGGGCCUUGUACACACCGCCCGUCACAUCACGAAAGCUGGCUGUACUAGAAGUCGCCGAGCUAACCCGCAAGGGAGGCAGGUGCCUAAGGUAU
rnacentral:rRNA from 1 species